GGCAGCUGAGCACACUACAGGGGCAGGCUGGUGAGAAUGUGGCCAUGGGCCUUAGCUGCAGGUUCUGGCUGCUUUCCACCUCUGACUGGUGGUCUUUGCCUCUCAACCCCAUCCUGACACCGAAUUGCAUGGAAAUACCAGGCCCCAGCUGGACAUGACUGACAUUUAUCUACUCACAUCCACCACCAAACUUCCACUGGAGCACAUGGAAUGGCGUGAGAAACACCUAGACAGUGCAUUUCACACCAGGAAGAGAAGCUCUGGGGACUGGAUGGCAUGUGUUUCUGCAAGGAGUCGGGAGCCUUGGUGGGAGACACUAUGGUGAGAAACGGAGAGUGCACACACUUACUGAAAACGUACUGAGAACUCACACCAAGCGUUUUCAAACCCUUCCUCUUUCUCUCAGCCCUUUUUUUAGUUAUCCCAGCUCAGCUGUUAAUUACCAUCAGUGAGUGUAGAAGAGGAAGGAAGCAAAUACCACCCUUCUUAAGCAGCUGGGCUAUUUUAGGGCAGACGUGAUGGAUCCUCAAUUAGAAAUUUGUACUAAACAUUCAAUUCACCCUCACACCAGUAUCAUACAUCACAAAUUGCAUUUCUCCAGUUUGGUUGUCAAGGAGCCAAAACGUGUGCUGGAUGCUCUAUAACUACUUAGCUAAGGUGGUGUCCCUCCUUUCUGUGUGUUGUUUUCUACUUACUGCAACCCCUCUUGUUAUUUUGUCAUUUUCCUGACCACUUAGCUUCCUCUGAAAUUAAAUUUUAUUCAUUAAGGAAACACCUUGUUUUCAUGGUUCUUAAUUUCUCGCUAACUAGGCUGUGUACAACCAAGAUAUUAAAACCCAUGCCAAAGUUUAUAAAUCUUCCAGAAAUCUUACACUAAUGAUCUGUCUCAUCCUUGGUGCCUUCCUGGUAUAUUUUUACAUUAUCUUGAAGUCCUAUUAAUAAUUCACACAUUCCAUUAUGCAGAAGGGGUGUACUGCCAGAUAAUAGAGUCCUCCAUUCACUCAUUUAUUCACUCAUUUGUUCAGGAAAUAUUUAUCAGGUCAGGGGCGGUGGCUCACACCUGUAAUCACUUUGGAAAGGAAAGGUGGCAGGAUCAUUUGAGCUCAGGAGUUCCAGACCAGCCUGGACAACAUAGUAAGACCCAGUUUCCAUAUUUAAAAAAAGAAAGA
rnacentral:lncRNA from 1 species